AGAGGAUGCUUUUGGUUAGGUACCUUUCGAGUUCCUUGGAACAGGACGCCUUAGAGGGUGAGAGCCCCGUACGAUUGGAUACCGAGCCUCUGUAAAGCUCCUUCGACGAGUCGAGUAGUUUGGGAAUGCUGCUCUAAAUGGGAGGUAAAUUUCUUCUAAAGCUAAAUACCGGCCAGAGACCGAUAGCGCACAAGUAGAGUGAUCGAAAGAUGAAAAGCACUUUGAAAAGAGGGUUAAAUAGUACGUGAAAUUGUUGAAAGGGAAGGGCUUAUGACCAGACCUUUGCCUUGCGGAUCAUCCGGUGUUCUCACCGGUGCACUCCGCUUGGUUGAGGCCAGCAUCAGUUUUGGCGGCCGGAUAAAGACUUCAGGAAUGUGACUCCUCCGGGAGUGUUAUAGCCUGCUGUGUAAUACGGCCGCUGGGACUGAGGACCGCGCUUCGGCUAGGAUGCUGGCAUAAUGGUCAUCAGCCACCCGUCUUGAAACACGGACCAAGGAGUCGAACAUUUAUGCGAGUUUUUGGGUGUUAAACCCUCAAGCGUAAUGAAAGUGAACGGAGGUGAGAGCCCUUACGGGUGCAUCAUCGACCGAUCCUGAUGUCUUCGGAUGGAUUUGAGUAAGAGCAUAACUGUUCGGACCCGAAAGAUGGUGAACUAUGCGUGGAUAGGGUGAAGCCAGAGGAAACUCUGGUGGAGGCUCGCAGCGGUUCUGACGUGCAAAUCGAUCGUCA
rnacentral:rRNA from 1 species